UAGUAAUGCAAGGCAGACGGCUCAGUAACACGUAGUCAACCUACCCUAUGGACGAGAAUAAUCUCGGGAAACUGAGCUUAAUUCUCGAUAGAUCAUAAUACCUGGAAUGGUUUAUGGUUAAAAUGAUUCGUCGCCAUAGGAUGGGACUGCGGCCUAUCAGCUUGUUGGUGAGGUAAUGGCCCACCAAGGCGAUUACAGGUACGGGCUCUGAGAGGAGAAGCCCGGAGAUGGGUACUGAGACAUGGACCCAGGCCCUAUGGGGCGCAGCAGGCGAGAAAACUUUGCAAUGUGCGAAAGCACGACAAGGUUAAUCCGAGUGAUUUCUGCUAAAGAGAUCUUUUGCCAGUCAUAAAACCACUGGUGAAUAAGGGGUGGGCAAGUUCUGGUGUCAGCCGCCGCGGUAAAACCAGCACCUCAAGCGGUCAGGAUGAUUAUUGGGCCUAAAGCAUCCGUAGCCGGCUUUGUUAGUUUUCGGUUAAAUCCAUGUGCUCAACGCAUGGGCCGCCGAAAAUACUGCAUAGCUAGGGAGUGGGAGAGGUAGACGGUACUCAAUAGGAAGGGGUAAAAUCCUUUGAUCUAUUGAUGACCACCUGUGGCGAAGGCGGUCUACCAGAACACGUUCGACGGUGAGGGAUGAAAGCUGGGGGAGCAAACCGGAUUAGAUACCCGGGUAGUCCCAGCCGUAAACGAUGCAGACUCGAUGAUGCAUUGGCAUAUAGCCAGUGCAGUGUCGCAGGGAAGCCGUUAAGUCUGCCGCCUGGGAAGUACGUACGCAAGUAUUGAAACUUAAAGGAAUUGGCGGGGGAGCACCACAAGGGGUGAAGCCUGCGGUUCAAUUUGGAGUCAACGCCAGAAAUCUUUACCCGGAGAGACAGCAGAAUGAAGGUCAAGCUGAAGACUUUUACCAGACAAGCUGAGAGGUGGUGCAUGGCCGUCGCCAGCUCGUGCCGUGAGAAUGUCCUGGUUAAGUCAGGUAACGAGCGAGAAUCCCUUGCCACUAGUUCGCUUAUCAUUAUUCUUCAGGAAUAGUGGGGGCGAAAUUAGUGGGGACUGCCGUUGUUUAAAACGGAAGGAAGGAAGGGGCUUACGGCAGGUCAGUAUGCCCCGAGA
rnacentral:rRNA from 1 species